GUUCGUUACACCACUGAUAGUGUGUUGGACUUCUAAUUGAAAGGUCAUGGGUUCGAGUCCCAACUGGAAUA